GAUGAAGAACGCAGCGAAAUGCGAUAAGUAAUGUGAAUUGCAGAAUUCAGUGAAUCAUCGAAUCUUUGAACGCGCAUUGCGCCCCCUGGUAUUCCGGGGGGCAUGCCUGUUCGAGCGUCAUUUCACCACUCAAGCCUCGCUUGGUAUUGGGCAACGCGGUCCGCCGCGUGCCUCAAAUCGACCGGCUGGGUCUUCUGUCCCCUAAGCGUUGUGGAAACUUUCGCUAAAGGGUGUUCGGGAGGCUACGCCGUAAAACAACCCCAUUUCUAAGGUUGACCUCGGAUCAGGUAGGGAUACCCGCUGAACUUAAGCAUAUCAAUAAGCGGAGGA
rnacentral:misc_RNA from 1 species